AUGGGUUGGAUGCCCUCUUCAAAGAGAUGGUGGUGUGCGACCCCCUGCACCGGCAGUAUCUCCUGCUCCCCCCCAAUCCCCGACGACAUGGCCGCUCCGGUUGCGGACCACCUCAUGAUAUAUGGGCAGAGCUUCGCCGAGACCUUCCUCGUCCCUCCCGGCUACGACGACGAGGAGGAAGCUGCUACAGCUACGGCGGAGACGUCAUUCAGGGUGAUCUGGGUGGCGCUGCUCCAAGCUAAGCAGAUGGCCGUCGUCUUCUCUUCCCGCACAGGGCAAUGGCGAGCCCUGACUCGGAGCGUCUCGUUGCCUCUACCGGAUUUCACAGGGAUGGUUCACUUCAGGUCGCGCCAUUACGCCCAUGGCUGCUUCUACUGGAUUUCAGGUGAAAAAUUGCUGGUGCUUGACAUUCAGAGGAUGGAGUUCUCCAUGGCCGUCCACCCACCCUGUGCCAGAGCUCCGAGCGAUGAUGUGGCCAUCGCAGAGGCAGGCCAAGGCACGAUUCGGAUGUUUGUGCCUACACCCAACACAGCUCGCCGCAGUUUUACGGUUUGGCGAAACAAUGGUGGGAUUUCCACCCAGUGGCAGUGGCAGAUGGAGAAUGAGACAAUCUCGCUGCCUUCUGGGUCCUUGCUCACGGGUGCAGUGGGGAGGCACUUGCUCCUAUAUCAUGUCGGAAGCUCGUCGAUCAGGCGAGGCUGUUACACGCGCGGCGUCGACACAUUCCAGUUUGAGAGGGUGUGUGGUUCUGCUUCAUUGCCCAAACCGUCUCAUGCAUAUUGCAACUUUCCACCGUCGUUAUUAUCGGCACCGACAGUGUCAAGUGCCACACCCCACGCUGACGUCCAGGGAGAGGGGGGCGCUGUGCGGGUGCCUGAACUACAAGAAGCCGACCCUGGAGGCAUGGAAGUGCACGUCCUCGCAGCGGCCGCCCAGCUCUAA
rnacentral:rRNA from 1 species